GCUGGCGGCAGGCCUAACACAUGCAAGUCGAACGGUAACAGGAUGUGCUUGCACAUCGCUGACGAGUGGCGGACGGGUGAGUAAUGCUUGGGAACUUGCCUUUGCGAGGGGGAUAACAGUUGGAAACGACUGCUAAUACCGCAUAAUGUCUUCGGACCAAACGGGGCUCCGGCUCCGGCGCAAAGAGAGGCCCAAGUGAGAUUAGCUAGUUGGUAAGGUAACGGCUUACCAAGGCGACGAUCUCUAGCUGUUCUGAGAGGAAGAUCAGCCACACUGGGACUGAGACACGGCCCAGACUCCUACGGGAGGCAGCAGUGGGGAAUAUUGCACAAUGGGGGAAACCCUGAUGCAGCCAUGCCGCGUGUGUGAAGAAGGCCUUCGGGUUGUAAAGCACUUUCAGUUGUGAGGAAAAGUUAGUAGUUAAUACCUGCUAGCCGUGACGUUAACAACAGAAGAAGCACCGGCUAACUCCGUGCCAGCAGCCGCGGUAAUACGGAGGGUGCGAGCGUUAAUCGGAAUUACUGGGCGUAAAGCGCACGCAGGCGGUUUGUUAAGCUAGAUGUGAAAGCCCCGGGCUCAACC
rnacentral:rRNA from 1 species